AUCUUUCAAGGCCUUUUUGCUGUGUCCUCCCAUGGUGCAGCAGGUGUUCUCCCGGUGGACCAAGAAGGCUAACCUGCUUCAUUUAUCUCCUCUACCAGGCAAAGCAGUCAGACCAACAUGGAAGCAAUAAAUGAGCUACACUGUUUCCACAUUCUUGGCUCCUCUCAGCAGCCAAGUCCUGAAGUUGCAAGAACCAUGAUCUCCACACUGGGCAAUCA
rnacentral:lncRNA from 1 species